CGCACAUUGCGCCCUUUGGCAUUCCGACGGGCAUGCCUGUUCGAGCGUCAUUAUCCUCUCUCCAAACCUCGCGUUUGGGUGUUGGACCGCGUUGGGGGCUCACCCCCCCCAACUGGUCUCAAAGACAAUGACGGCGUCCGUGGGACCCUCUUCGCACUGAGCUUUCCGGAGCACGCGUCGAGUUUCAAGGCCCCAGGGACCCGGUCCUCCUUUUUAUAUUUUAUCAGGUUGACCUCGGAUCAGGUAGGAAUACCCGCUGAACUUAA
rnacentral:misc_RNA from 1 species